CCUACGGGAGGCAGCAGUAGGGAAUAUUGGUCAAUGGAUGGAAGUCUGAACCAGCCAUGCCGCGUGCAGGAAGAAGGCCUUCUGGGUUGUAAACUGCUUUUGCCAGGGGAUAAAAAGACCGUGCGCGGUUAAUUGAAGGUACCUGGUGAAUAAGCCACGGCUAACUACGUGCCAGCAGCCGCGGUAAUACGUAGGUGGCAAGCGUUGUCCGGAUUUAUUGGGUUUAAAGGGUGCGUAGGCGGCCCCGUAAGUCAGUGGUGAAAUAUCUCAGCUUAACUGAGAGGGUGCCAUUGAUACUGCGGGGCUUGAGUACAGAUGAGGUAGGCGGAAUUGACGGUGUAGCGGUGAAAUGCAUAGAUAUCGUCAAGAACACCGAUAGCGAAGGCAGCUUACUAAGCUGUAACUGACGCUGAGGCACGAAAGUGUGGGGAUCAAACAGGAUUAGAUACCCUGGUAGUCCACACUGUAAACGUUGAUGACUCGAUGUUGGCGAUACACAGCCAGCGUCCAAGAGCAAUCGUUAAGUCAUCCACCUGGGGAGUACGCCGGCAACGGUGAAACUCAAAGGAAUUGACGG
rnacentral:rRNA from 1 species